AUGUUAGUUUGGCUAAGUAAAUCCUUCUAAAGCAACCCAUAACUUUGUUCCUUCAUACUUUCGUAAAAGUAGCACUUAUUUUAAUAACAAAAAACAAUGUAUAGUUUUUUUCUUUUCAAGACUUGGCCGGACAUUUUUAUUUCAUUAGGCCGGUGGGUGCUGCUUAACGCCACCCCGUCACCUCAUCCACCAUAGCGCCCCGGAGCGCCAUCGUCCACAACGCCGCAAUUAAAGGGGGGCGCCACCGUCCUUCCGCCAGCAUGUUAACGAGAAAACUUUGAGAUUUUCGAAGUUGAUGGUCUUUAAAGGGGGACACUAUAGUGUAAAGGGGGCUAUAUACCACACCUUGAAAGUUAAAGGAGGGGGCUUUAAAGCCCCCUGUGUGAUGUGGCGCUGAGGUGGCGUGAUAAAGACCAUAGGGGCUUUAUACUACACCCUCCAGCCUUACCUCGUUCCUUGUGCUCUCUAGGCAUUAGGGUAUGGGGAGUGGGUGGCAAACCACCAUCGACAAAUGGGUUUACCGAGUGGGAACACCACAGCCGACCCAUUUUGCCUAUCGGUAAGUUUGGUGAUUCGGUGACCGGUUGCCGAAGCGGUGAAGGGAGGGAAGGAUAGAGAGAGUGUGUGUGUGGUGGGGUCCAUUCCAUCUCAAUCAAUCACACCUUUUGUAACACCCCGCUUUUCACAGCUUUCUAUUUUUUUAGUAAGAUUGUAUCGUAAUUCUAUUUUCAGAAACUCUUUCCUUUGUAAGCGUAUUCCGUUUCAAGCCAUUGUAAAUCCGAGACUUUGAUCAGAAUGAAAUGAAGCUU
rnacentral:lncRNA from 1 species